GACAGAGGGGGCAAGCGUUGCUCGGAAUUACUGGGCGUAAAGCGCACGUAGGCGGAUUGUUAAGUCAGGGGUGAAAUCCUGGAGCUCAACUCCAGAACUGCCUUUGAUACUGAAGAUCUUGAGUUCGGGAGAGGUGAGUGGAACUGCGAGUGUAGAGGUGAAAUUCGUAGAUAUUCGCAAGAACACCAGUGGCGAAGGCGGCUCACUGGUCCGGUACUGACGCUGAGGUGCGAAAGCGUGGGGAGCAAACA
rnacentral:rRNA from 1 species